AAAACACUGGCUACAUACAAACUAAACAAGUUUUUAUAAAUGACACAGAAUAGUUCGCUUAUAGGCUAGCUAUAUUUGUUUCAAGCAUUGUUGUGAACACACUGCAGUAAUAGUCACCAGUAGCCUAACUUGGCUAAUCAAACUAUUCAAACAGCAAUUAAUGCCCCACAAAUGAAAUGUAUAAAAUGCUAAACACAUAAAAAAAUAACAUUAAGAAACUAUAUCACCCAAGGUUAGCAUAGGUUAUUAGCUUGAUUGUUUUUCUGUGUGCCUGUAAUCAUUCAAGCAAAACAGCUUACAGACGAUUUAUCAUAUUACACAAACUGCAUUGUUUUGACACUGUUGCAGUGCUUCAAUGCUUAACAUUGACACUUCGUUACCUGUUCAAAAUAAUCCAUUAAACAAGCAGCGAUUUGGAGCGUGCACUGAUAUUUUCAGUUCCAUUCGCUUGCGCGUUGUUUCAAGGACACGCCCACAACAAGAGAACUAAUGAAUAUUCAUGUAACCCCACCCACGGGAACAGUUUUUCACAGGAACCGAAUAUUACACAACACCGGUUCCCUCGAAGCUGCUGCAUGCUACUCCUCCGCACGGACAGAUCAUCACUCACAGAAGUGCAGAGCCUCAGAAGUCGGUCAUUCACUGCACUGGACACCUGGGGGGUCUUGGAAAGAAAAAGGAGAACCCGUUCCUCAGAAAGAGCGUGUGCAGACUGCUGGAGCCAGUGGUGUAGAAGUCUGGUUCUCCAGAUUCCUGGCGUCAGAAAGGUGAAGGCCAUGCAGCUCCUCCAGCGAUUCCCCAGCAUCCAUCAGCUCUGUGGAGCUUCAGUGCAUGAGCUUGAGCCCAUCGUGGGACAGGCCACAACCCAACAUAUCACAGCAUUCUUCCACAACCAGUUCACAUAGGAACGCAUGUUACGGACAACAGAAGGACUUUCAACAAAAAAAAAAACAACAGGUGGCGCUGAAGACUCAGUUGCAUGUAGUGUUUGUUCCUUACCCAAGUCCCAUUUCAAAGUGGGAGUUGUUGUUAUGUUCCUGUUCAUGCAUUUAUUUACUUUAUCUUUUUUGAGUUGCAUGAAAACAUACUAUGGGUUGAUAUUAAUGGAAUGAUAUUAAUGUGUUUGUUGUACAGUUGGGCCUGAGACCACAUUGAUCGUUUGAGAUUUUCAUUGAAACUUUGUAGGGAAGUAAUGAGGUUUUUGGAUUUAAGAAUAAAAUGUAUACAAAAAUACA
ensembl:lncRNA